UGUGUGAGUGAGUGUGUGAGUGUGUGAGUGAGUGAAAGCGCGAGUGAGCGAACAAGUGAGUGUAUUGGGGGCACUCGGCCUGUUGUUGUCCCCUCCACCCUUCCCCUUCCCAUCGCAGCUGCAGUGGCCACUCCCUGGGCCAUAGGAAAUGAGCGAUAACGAUGACAUCAAGGUGGAGAGCGAGGAAGAGCAGCUGAGGUUUCAAUCUGUGGCUGACAAAUGGGCUCAUCAUAAUGAGCUGGAACGGAAACGUAGGGACUACAUCAAGGACAGCUUCCACAGCCUGUGGGACUUGGCCUCGUCCCUCCAGGGAGAGAAGGCAUCCAGGGCCCAAAUCCUAUACAAAGCCACAGAGUAUAUCCAGUCUAUGCAAAGGUAAAACUACACACACCAGCAGGACAUCGACGAGCUCAAGCGGCAGAAUGCUCUUGUGGAGCAGCAAGUCUGUGCACUGGAGAAGGUGAGGUCAAGUGCCCAACUGCAGACCAACUACCCCUCCUCAGACAGCAGCCUCUACACCAACGCCAAGGACAGCACCAUCUCUGCCUUUAAUGGAGGCUCAGACUCCAGUUCUGAGUUGGAGUCCACAGAGACCCCACAGUUCCACAGGACCACAUGA